UUUUUUUUUCUUUUUUUCUUUUUAGGCAGAAUGGGGUCUCGCUAUGUUUCCCAAGCUGGUCUCGAACUCCUGGGCUCAAGCAAUCCUCCUGCCUCAGCCUCCCAAAGUGCUGGGAUUGAGAUUUUAUACCUGAUUUUUCUGAAAUUAUGUGUUCUGGAGCCAAAAAAAGUUAGAGGGAGGUUGCUAAAAAUACCCAGACAUAAGCCUCUGACCAGCAGAGGAGACAGAAUGCAAUGAUCUGGAAAGUCCCUCCAAGCUCUCUAUGCUCAUUGGUCCUCCCAAAAAGCAGAGGCUACUCAUGGAAAGAAGGAUUUGGCUGAAACAUCUGCAGAAUGACAUUGCUUCCCAGGGCUGCUUAACGCUGACCUUUUGACAUUCUCGCCUUUGAUUUCCUUAAUGUGAUUGCUCUGUUUCUUUGCUGUCUGACAAAAGGUCAAUUCCUGUUUGUCUUCUAAUAAAUGGGCUGCUUAAUGCUGGGGGAAAAAGAGACCAACAGAAAAUCCUCAUUGCCAUCUACAAAUAACUUCAAAGUAAAUCAUCUACCUUUUGCUUUCUUCUUUGAACUUUUAAAUUUUUAUCACAUACGAAUGUACCAUCAUUAGCUCUCCCUGGCAGCAGGGAGAUCUUUGAUGGAGUAACUGCCUCUCAAAAAAGAUCAUGCUUUUCUGAACAUGCUGUAUUUUUGGCUGCAGCCCUGAACUGCUGGGAAUGCAAUUGCUUUUUAAUUGGAACCAACAACCAGUGUUGGCUUGGAUUCAGAACUAGCCUCCCCGCAUCAGAAACGUCUACUGGAGUCUGGGGAUAGGCGAGAGGGGGGCCGUUAACCACCUUCAGGCUGUGAAUCCCCGGGGGGAAGCUCUCUUUGUACCUGGAAUCUUGGCUGGCUCAGAAAACAGAAUUUCCAUUUUCUGACCAGAUAAAGAAAUACUUGUCAUUGAUGGGGACUGGCAAACAGAAAACUGAAUGGUUCAUGCAGGGAAUUUUCACCCUGCCCAGUUUAUGUCUGCAUGUGUGCGAAUAAACUAGGAGCUUGGAUGAAAGGGAACAAAAGAAUCACAAAGGAAAUUUCUAGUGUUUUCCAUCAACAUGACAGACCAAAAUGUCCUUUCCUUUCCAAAGGGAAACAAUUGCAGGAAUGGGUUCCCUUGUCUUUUGUUACUGAGGGAAUAAUCAGCAUUCUGUAAAGAAACCCAUCGCUUCAGGUUCUCAUCCUAUCAAGCAAUUAUUUAUAAUUUACGGCCUAUUAAUACAACAGCACAUCUUAUCUACACUGUGUGCCAAAAAGCUCACGCUUAAUCAGAAUAUUAGCACCAUGGCUUGCUGAACACAACCUCUUCUUUACGCAUUCCUUUAACUAAUUUCGACCCAAUGCACGAAGGGCGUGGAGCUGGAUGCUGGUGGUCCACAUUGCAAUGCAGGCAGAGUAAUUAUGCACAACAUAAAAUGACAAAUAUUUAGUGUCUAAAGGUCUAUUUCCAUAUGCCCAAUUCUUCAGAUGGGGUAUAUGGUUGUGCUAGAGUUAGCCACAGUGCAAUGUGGGAUGAAAAUCCAAAGGCAUAGAAUCCGAAUGCAAACAAAAAAUCCAAAGCAUUCGAGUCAAUGUCCUGUUUCUCCUACUCACACUAACUCAAGUGUGACCUCAAAUUCCUUUGCUCUCAUAGUCUAAGUUUGAAAAAAUCUUCUGCAUUGGGGGAACAUUCCAUUUGAAUUUAAUUUACAUUGUCAAUACAAACUGAGCAGGAUUUCCAAGAACAAAAGGAACAAAGAAAUCUAUUUUGGCCUGAAUGAUGCUGAUUGCUUCAACCAAGAGAUGGCACCAACUUGCACCCAAAUUCUGGCUGGGUGGUAAGUGUGUGGAUCAUCCAAGCUCAUCUCCUGUGCUUCUCAUUGGAGAGUUUCCUCUCCAGAUAAGGCAGCCCCUAAGCUGUACCACAUAAUCCCCAUACUCACUUUCUCUCUCUGCUUGAGGUCAUUUUCUUCCAUCCAUCCCUUUACUGACACAAUGCUUUCCAUUUUGCAAAGCCUGCAACAUCAGGGCAUCCGAGGUUAUUCUACACCAUGGUCUUCUGCUUUGUCCAAAUUCCUUUAACAUUUUCAUGGCACUGGAUAAUAUAUAAUUUCUUCCUUUUCCUAAGAGUUUAAUGUGUGCCUGCCAACAAGCAAGUGAGUGUUUUUUUGGAUGUAUGACUGCUCUAGACUGUGACAAGAGUUCUUUGUCAUCAAGGAAACAUUUAUCUUGGAUUUCUGUGCUCCAGACCUUCUGCAGGGACACAGUGAGGAAGACGAGGAGCAGAGAGAUUCCUAAAGGAAGUGGGUCAGGGCACACAAGCGUAUAAGCUAUUGGGAAGAAGACAAAGCAACAGAUAUUGGUUUCUCUGUGAUAUCACAGUGUCAAAUCAAAUAUAAGCAGAGGAAGAGUCCCGGGAUGGAGGGAAUGAUGACUGGUAACUAAAAGUCAGCUAACACUUGGGCUGGAUCUUAAAAUCCAGUGAGUUGGAUGGGGUCCAUGUGGAAUGGGCCUUGAGUGGCCACCCCAGAGGACAGAUUUCAAUCAGACAGUAGAGGGAUAUAACCAAUGUUUCUCAUGAGGGAACAACAGGACUCUAUCUGCCUUAGCAAGAAGAGACAGCUGGAAGAUCCCAUGGUGGGGAGGAAUAAUGGUCUCGGGGAAAGAAGGCACUGGAGUAGAGAGUAGGUUUUGCUGUGAGAUAAUCUGAAGGAGCCCAGGGGAAACCUGUGGAUGAAUGGGAUGUGAAGCAUAAAGAA